GACGAACGCUGGCGGCGUGCUUAACACAUGCAAGUCGAACGGAAAGGCCCUGCUUUUGUGGGGUGCUCGAGUGGCGAACGGGUGAGUAACACGUGAGUAACCUGCCCUUGACUUUGGGAUAACUUCAGGAAACUGGGGCUAAUACCGGAUAGGAGCUCCUGCUGCAUGGUGGGGGUUGGAAAGUUUCGGCGGUUGGGGAUGGACUCGCGGCUUAUCAGCUUGUUGGUGGGGUAGUGGCUUACCAAGGCUUUGACGGGUAGCCGGCCUGAGAGGGUGACCGGCCACAUUGAGACUGAGAUACGGCCCAGACUCCUACGGGAGGCAGCAGUGGGGAAUAUUGCACAAUGGGAGGAAGCCUGAUGCAGCAACGCCGCGUGCGGGAUGACGGCCUUCGGGUUGUAAACCGCUUUCGCCUGUGACGAAGCGUGAGUGACGGUAAUGGGUAAAGAAGCACCGGCUAACUACGUG
rnacentral:rRNA from 1 species